UCGUCUUUUAAAUUACCCUAUCAAAACAUACACAUUUAUUUGUCAUUUCAUUUAUUAUUUGCAUUGGCCCGCUUUCAAAUUUAUUGUGUGAAUGAUUGGUUUUGACAGAAGCAAGUGUCCCCGAACAUCAAAUCAAACGCACCCCUUUGCAGACCGCGCAUGCUCAAUUCGCUCUCGGCUACUCGGCUUAGAGUAAAGGAAAAGUUUCGCCGGGUUUGGCUUUUCGCCUCUCGCUCUCGUGUGUGAGCGAGACAGACGCCCACGGAGAAUGAACGCUUUGUCAUGGCUUAUUAUCCUACGGUUGCAAGCAAAAAUAAUCUCUUGUUUGAAAUUUACGUAGGAAAUAAAGUGCUUAAUGUUUUAGGCUUCAUGCUUUAGCAUCACUUUUUUGUGUUCACGAGUACGAUUCGCACGGGUCGCGGGAUCCGCGGCCGGUUCACUGUUUGAGCUGGCAGCUCAUCUCCCGUGAUCUCCGUACCACGCCGUUCCGGGACCUAAACUCUUACCGGAACGCCGUUCCGGACCGUACCGGCUUACUUUCACCCCUGUUUAUCUGGCAAUUGGAUUUUCCGUUCUGAAACGGGUAUUGAAAGACAAAAAACGAGUGGUUAUUUGAUUUUCGUUUUAAAAUACAAAAAUUUAAAUUGAAAUACAAGGCGUUUUUCCUUUUCGUGAUCAAAAAGGGAUAUACGAAAUUUUAAAAAUGCUUUGAUUUUCAUUUCAUAUUUAGAAUAACAAAAAAUAAAAUCAGUAAGAGACAGAAACGAAAAAGGUCCAUUUUUUUUUAUUUUCUGAGACCGGAAGUGAUCAUCGGCAAGUGUGGAGCCAAACGACAACAAGAUUCUCAGAGGGCGGAGCCAGAGAGCAGCGAUUGGUCAGACCAUAGAUAAUAUAGAAGACAGCGCGCUAGCGUAUCUGGUCUGUGUUUGUCUAUGGUCGGCAGGUCUGGUAGCAUCUCUGACUGCUGUUGACUUUGUUUUUGGAGUAAAACACGGUGGAAGCUGAAUUAGUGAGGAUGACUCCUGCUCCUGUCAUCUCUAAGCUCCUCCCACAUCUUUACCUGCUCAUGAGGAAAAUCACUCCUGUAGAAUGCAGUGGUUCAUCAGAACCUCUGGGGAUGUCCUGUGGAUUCUGUGGAUCCUGUGGGUUGCAGGGUGGGUCCUACCUAGACCAGGCUGAUCCUGGACCAUCCCACAGAUGCUCAAUCAGAUCUGGAUGUGGGGAGUGUGGAACCCAGAUGUUCAGAGGGAGAUGAUGCCACAUCUGGUCCAGCCAAUGGAAGGUCUUGAAGUUCUCUGACUGGCCUCGACUGAAGAUGGUCGUCUCACUGGAUUUAAGGUUCAGAUGCUCAGUAACAAACUCCACCAAUGUGCCAACAGGGAAGCUUUAGGUUUAUUAAAUGUUGCUAUGAAGGUUUCGCUGUUUUUCUUUGUGAAUGCAAUGUGCUCCAACUGAAACUUGAAUUAGAACUUAGAAGUAAAUCCUUCCAUCUGAAAGGAUUUAGUUGCAUUAAUAACCUCAUAACAUUCUAAUUUUUAUUCCAGUCUUGGUUGGAAAUAGAAUCUCUGUAUUGAUUCAGGUAAAAACUGAACUUCACAGCAUGUUGGAGCAAAACAACCAGAUGAAAACUGUGAUGGUGUUGGAUUGUCAGACCGUAAUGUUGCAGCUCAAAGCAGCUUUUCUGUCUCGGUUCAUUCUGACAUUCAGCUAUGAAUCAACACAGCAGAUGGUGAUCCAUGCUGUGGAAGUCUCACAUCUCCUGAUUUAAUGGAGCUGCUUUGCACUUUUUACACUGUUUAUUCACCAACACUUUAUUUAAUAAAAGUCCCAUCUAGUUUUCAUGAGGAAUGUGAUGUUUUAAUUUCUCUGUGAAUAACUGCAGUCUAAUGCAACAGCUGGAGUUGUAACAUCUGUCCUGAUAUUGAUCAUGAAGUAUUGAUCAGAAUACUUACGGUCAGCAGUCAUCCCUGAAGUUUUACAUUAAAAUCUUUACUUGUGUUGUGAACUUUGGUAAGAAGCAGAAACUUUUGCGUUGCCAUGGAUACAUGAGUGUUAAAUUCUGUCCAUGUUUCCAUUUUGGGAAAUUCAGUCCAGUUCCAGAAUGUGGAGGAAUUUAGUCUCACAAUCACAGACAACAAAUAUUAUCUGAAAGUUGGGUUGUUCUUGUUUAUCAGCACAAUACAAAAAGAUUAAUGUUAGAAAUAUUCCAGUUAAGACCCUAGAAUAUCAUGAUUUAUGUAAACUUACCUCAAUAAUAUGAAUGUUCAGGUUAAGAUUGUACAGUGAUAUUUAUUAUGUAAGUUUAGCUGAUUAAAGUUUGACUCUGCACUAAAAUAUUAUUUAAAUUGACAUCAUCAUUAUAAUAUUUAGGGUCAGACCCUACAGUAUUGAGAUUAAGAAAUCAAAUAUUCUAUAAAAUGUAAAUACACUGAACUCAUUUGGAUAUAUUUAAGUGAGACGCUACAAUAUUAUUUGACACAAAUCUAUCUAAAUCAAAAUCUUAAUAAUUUUCACGCCAAACAUUUACUGGACUGAUUUAAACAUUAAAAUCACUCCUUUCUAAUCCUCUGCUGUAGGUUCAAACCUGAGGCCUUAAAUAGAAACACACAAGUAUCUGUUUGAAGGAACUUCUGCAGAGUCCUGGUUCCAGAACAUGAUGAUAGAAUUAUAGACAAACUUUAACAAAAGCUGCCUGAGAGUUUACAGGUUUUUAUGUUAGACUUCUUCAGUAAUUUAAUGAGCGUUAUCAGCAAAAAUCAAGUGUUCAUUUGAUGAACUUCAUUUCCUAAAACAUCCAGAAUUGGAGCUCAUAUCUUUGGCUGCUGUAAAGUUUCUGCUCCUUCAAAGUUCACAACACAAUGAAUGAAUUCCUAAAACACUCUCAAUGCUGGAGAGCGUUUGUGAUGCUGAAGCAGUGACCAGUUUUUCUGUUUCUUCUCUGGAGAUGCACAAUGAGGGACGUCUGCAGAGACUGAGAAAGAGUCUCACCACAUCCUGACAUGAGGAAAAAGACUUUAUUGAAGACUACAAUGAGAAAAACUAUCAGACAGUAGACGGCUGCAUUCAAGGUGAGCUCUGAACAUUUGAUCUGGAACAGGAAUUCAGUAACGGCAGCAUGAGCUUCAUUUCAGUCUGUAGCUGCUGAAUUCAUGGAUGAAUCAUCUGGCACUAGAGAGGAAGACCAUCAAACAUCCACGUCAGCUGAUGGAGUUCCAAGAGUCUCACCAAACAACCAACCUACAGAGUGAAGACCUCAAAUCUGAUUGGACGGCCUCCUAUUCAGCCACAUGUGUGAACAAAUGCCUCUAAGCUGAUUUGUUUUCUAAAAUAAAUCUAGUUUAAGUCCUAA